AGCAGCCGCGGUAAUUCCAGCUCCAAUAGCGUAUAUUAAAGUUGUUGCAGUUAAAAAGCUCGUAGUUGAAUUUCGGGGUCAGUAGGUCGGUCGUGCCACUGGUAUGAACUGGUUUUACUGAUUCCUCCCUCUUGAAGAACUGUAAUGCCAUUAAUUUGGUGUUGCAGGGAAUCAGGACUGUUACUUUGAAAAAUUAGAGUGUUUAAAGCAAGCUAACGCUUGAAUACAUUAGCAUGGAAUAAUGAAAUAGGACGUUCGAUCCUAUUUUGUUGGUUUCUAGGAUUGACGUAAUGAUUAAUAGGGAUAGUUGGGGCAUUAGUAUUCAAUUGUCAGAGGUGAAAUUCUUGGAUUUAUUGAAGACUAACUACUGCGAAAGCAUUUGCCAAGGAUGUUUUCAUUAAUCAAGAACGAAAGUUAGGGGAUCGAAGACGAUCAGAUACCGUCGUAGUCUUAACCAUAAACUAUGACCG
rnacentral:rRNA from 1 species